rnacentral:rRNA from 1 species
UGGGGAAUAUUGCACAAUGGGCGGAAGCCUGAUGCAGCGACGCCGCGUGGGGGAUGAAGGCCUUCGGGUUGUAAACUCCUUUCGACAGGGACGAAGCUUUUGUGACGGUACCUGUAUAAGAAGCACCGGCUAACUACGUGCCAGCAGCCGCGGUAAUACGUCGGGUGCGAGCGUUGUCCGGAAUUACUGGGCGUAAAUUGCUCGUAGGUGGUUUGUCGCGUCGUCUGUGAAAUUCCGGGGCUUAACUCCGGGCGUGCAGGCGAUACGGGCUGACUUGAGUGCUGUAGGGGAGACUGGAAUUCCUGGUGUAGCGGUGAAAUGCGCAGAGAUCAGGAGGAACACCGAUGGCGAAGGCAGGUCUCUGGGCAGUAACUGACGCUGAGGAGCGAAAGCAUGGGUAGCGAACAGG